rnacentral:rRNA from 1 species
UACGUAGGCAGCGAGCGUUGUUCGGAGUUACUGGGCGUAAAGGGUGUGUAGGCGGUUGUUUAAGUUUGGUGUGAAAUCUCCCGGCUCAACUGGGAGGGUGCGCCGAAUACUGAGCGACUAGAGUGCGGGAGAGGAAAGUGGAAUUCCUGGUGUAGCGGUGAAAUGCGUAGAUAUCAGGAGGAACACCGGUGGUGUAGACGGCUUUCUGGACCGUAACUGACGCUGAGACACGAAAGCGUGGGGUAGCAAACAGG